rnacentral:rRNA from 1 species
UACGUAGGGGGCGAGCGUUGUCCGAAGUUACUGGGCGUAAAGCGCGCGUAGGCGGUUUCUUAAGUCUGGUGUGAAAGGUUCAGGGCUCAACCCGAACAGUGCACUGGAUACUGGGAGACUUGAGUAUGGGAGAGGAGAACGGAAUUCCUGGUGUAGCGGUGAAAUGCGCAGAUAUCAGGAGGAACACCGGUGGCGAAGGCGGUUCUCUGGGCAUGUCCUGACGCUGAGGAGCGAAAGUGUGGGGAGCGAACAGG